AAUUGGCAUGACUACUAUAUGAGAAGUUAUGUCCUUCCAAGAAAAGGACUUACAGUCAACAAGAUUCCUUGUUUGCUAACCCGUUGGCUGCUACCCAUGAAUCUCCCUAUUUUUCAACAACAAAAAAAGAGGUUAAAUAUUGUGAUCAUGCUAUCAUCAUUAUGUUGCCUAUAAGACCAAAUGUGGGGCAUCUGGUUAUCCCUCCAAAAUAAGGCAAUGACCACACGUUCAACGCGGAUCAUUCGCUUUGUCAUCGAACUUGACUCAUUCCAUCUUCUGAAUUGCUUAGGAAAGCUGAUUGGUGUUACCUGUCCAUUUAGGUAAUGACCGAGAAGAUGCGGCCUACAUGAACAUCAUUCAGGCGGCCAGCAUCAUUCGACUACCCAACCGGCUUCUACUACCCUGCUCUCAACACAGCACGGAGUUUUACCCUUAGAUUUUUGGCUGUUCGCGAUGUGUGAUGGCGUUUCCUUGAACGAGAUGAUGAUUUUGGCGAGAAAAAUAUUGCGUUCUAACAUUCAGGUUCCUAAAUAUGAAAAGUAAUGUUCUUUCAAGAAAGUCAACGAGGUCCCUUACUCCCUUGUUUGCUAACCCAAUGGCUGCUACCCUUGAAUCUCCCUAUUUAGCUCCUUACACAGUCCCUCUUGAUUUGAGGGUAAUCCUUCGCUACUGAUCAUGGACUCCAUUGGUGAAACUGAAAACCGACGAG